UUUCUUUUAGGAAUGGUUUUGAUAUGGCAUUAGUGAUGUUUUUAUUUUGUGUGUUGCAGGUUAACCCCAUUUUACAAUAUGAAGGAUGUAGUGACAAAGCUGCAAGAAUAUGUAGACAACAUUAAUCUCAACAUACAUAAGCUAGAAACACGGGAUCCUAUUUCAAAAUAUGUCUUGCCUGAUGAUGACUUAAGGGGAAGGUUUGACUUAUUUAUCCUCCACUAUAUAUAGCUAUUAAGGUUUGGAUCUCUUGAUUUUUAAUUUUCACGUAUGUGUAGCUAUUAAGGCUUCCUUUGCAUUCUUCUACAGCCUUACUCUAACUUUUGAUGAGGAAAAUUUUGGA